CGGCCGUAGCUAAAUUGACACUGAGAGGUUAAUUAGCUAUUCGUCAUGAGAUCUUACAAUCUCUGUUGGCGAAUCCGCCUCCAUAGCCUCUCACACUU